rnacentral:rRNA from 1 species
CCAAGUGCGUAGGCAUAGAGCCUACGCUUUUGUCCACCGUAGGGAGGUGGACGAAUAAGGGCUGGGCAAGACCGGUGCCAGCCGCCGCGGUAAUACCGGCAGCCCGAGUGAUGGCCGAUCUUAUUGGGCCUAAAGCGUCCGUAGCUGGCCGCGCAAGUCUAUCGGAAAAUCCACCCGCUCAACGGGUGGGCGUCCGGUAGAAACUGCGUGGCUUGGGACCGGAAGGCGCGACGGGUACGUCCGGGGUAGGAGUGAAAUCCUGUAAUCCUGGACGGACCGCCGAUGGCGAAAGCACGUCGCGAGAACGGAUCCGACAGUGAGGGACGAAAGCUAGGGUCUCGAACCGGAUUAGAUACCCGGGUAGUCCUAGCCGUAAACAAUGCCUGCUAGGUGUGGCUCCCACUACGAGUGGGUGCUGUGCCGUAGGGAAGCCGCUAAGCAGGCCGCCUGGGAAGAACGUCCGCAAGGAUGAAACUUAAAGGAAUUGGCGGGGGAGCACUACAACCGGAGGAGCCUGCGGUUUAAUUGGACUCAACGCCGGACAUCUCACCAGCAUCGACUGUAGUAAUGACGAUCAGGUUGAUGACCUUAUCCGAGCUUCAGAGAGGAGGUGCAUGGCCGCCGUCAGCUCGUACCGUGAGGCGUCCUGUUAAGUCAGGCAACGAGCGAGACCCGCAUCCUUACUUGCCAGCAGCACUGCGAAGUGGCUGGGGACAGUAGGGAGACCGCCGUGGCCUACACGGAGGAAGGAACGGGCAACGGUAGGUCAGUAUGCCCCGAAUGUGCUGGGCAACACGCGGGCUACAAUGGUCGAGACAAAGGGUUCCUACUCCGAAAGGAGACGGUAAUCUCAGAAACUCGAUCGUAGUUCGGAUUGUGGGCUGCAACUCGCCCACAUGAAGCUGGAUUCGGUA